rnacentral:rRNA from 1 species
UACGUAGGGACCGAGCGUUGUCCGGAAUCAUUGGGCGUAAAGAGCGUGUAGGCGGCCACUUAAGUCCUGCGUGAAAUCUUGCGGCUCAACCGCAAGCGGUCGUGGGAAACUGGGUGGCUAGAGUGCGGGAGAGGAGAGUGGAAUUCCCGGUGUAGCAGUGAAAUGCGUAGAGAUCGGGAGGAACAUCAGUUGCGAAGGCGGCUCUCUGGACCAGCACUGACACUGAGGCACGAAAGCGUGGGGAGCAAACAGG